UACGUAGGGGGCAAGCGUUGUCCGGAAUCAUUGGGCGUAAAGAGCUCGUAGGCGGUGUGUCGCGUCGGCCGUGAAAACCUGCAGCUUAACUGUGGGCUUGCGGUCGAUACGGGCAUCACUGGAGUUCGGCAGGGGAGACUGGAAUUCCUGGUGUAGCGGUGAAAUGCGCAGAUAUCAGGAGGAACACCGGUGGCGAAGGCGGGUCUCUGGGCCGAUACUGACACUGAGAAGCGAAAGCAUGGGGAGCGAACAGG
rnacentral:rRNA from 1 species